UUGAUGCAAACCACAGGAGGCUUUA
rnacentral:misc_RNA from 1 species